UACGUAGGGCGCAAGCGUGUCCGGAAUUUAUUGGGCGUAAAGAGCUCGUAGGCGGUCUGUCACGUCUGCCGUGAAAACCCGAGGCUUAACCUCGUGGCUUGCGGUGGAUACGGGCAGACUAGAGGUAGGUAGGGGAGAACGGAAUUCCCGGUGUAGCGGUGAAAUGCGCAGAUAUCGGGAGGAACACCGGUGGCGAAGGCGGUUCUCUGGGCCUUACCUGACGCUGAGGCACGAAGGCCAGG
rnacentral:rRNA from 1 species